UACGUAGGGGGCAAGCGUUGUCCGGAUUUAUUGGGCGUAAAGAGCGUGUAGGCGGCUAGGUAGGUCCGUUGUGAAAACUCGAGGCUCAACCUCGAGACGCCGAUGGAAACCAUCUGGCUAGAGUCCGGAAGAGGAGAGUGGAAUUCCUGGUGUAGCGGUGAAAUGCGUAGAGAUCAGGAGGAACACCCAUAGCGAAGGCAGCUUGCUGGGACGUUACUGACGCUAAGGCGCGAAAGCGUGGGGAGCGAACAGG
rnacentral:rRNA from 1 species